ACAGCAAAAAAAAGCCUUAAAAGCAAAAUGAAAUUAUAUUUGUACGUAUUUCAACGCUAUUCUUAAUCGGCAACUCGAUUAGAAAUCAACAACUUGCAUCUCCUUAUUGUGUUUCAAAGGUGCAGAAGAACCUGCAAGUUAUAUGGGUUGCUAAUGAAUACUCCCUAAUUUCCUAAUAUACCAAGGACAAGUAUAUUUGUACAAAAUCAUUAAUCUUUGGAGUUUAGGAAUUUUAUCCUUGUAUGAAAAAGGACUGGGAAGCCUGAAAGAAAUACUGAAGUGACAAGAAAACCAGAACUGGUUCUCUGCAGGACUUAGCUGGCUUUGUCAACUAUGAAAGGUUGACUUUUAUUGAUUCCUGAUGGCAACAACAGCAUGUUUCUCUUCAUUGCAUGAGCUUGAAGCUUUACUUCAACGAUGCUUUAAUUGCUGUAAAGGGGACUGCAAGUCCUACCACUGCCCUUUUUGCCCUGCCUCAAAGUUCAAACCAACAAAGAUGGUGAAAGUCAAGAGCCACUUAAAGGUACAUUGGAAAACACGUGUAUCUGGGACCAAUGGUCUUUAUUCAAUCAUCUGUCAUCUUCCACAUGAGGGUAAAACAUCCAGGCAUUACCACUGUCCAUCGUGUAAAAAAGUUAUUGUUAGAAAGAGUAAUCUCAGUGACCACAUCAACAAAAACUGCAAAGGUUAUGCUUCUCCUGUUAUCCCUGAAAGGUCUGCUACAGUAAUCAGACUAAACAGUGUUGGGUCAAGUGAGAAAUGUCUUUCCAGUUCAGCCAAGGAAGAAGUGGAGUACUUGGUGCUUGUGCUGGGCUCAGAUGACAAGAAUGAGGAUAAGGUAGAAAAGUAAAUAGAAUGUAGGAAUAUUGUUCUAAGCCAAGAAGAUUUGAAAGCUGUGGCAGAAAUAUUGACACCUGCAGUCAUGAAGGCAGUGGCAGAAAUAUUGACACCUGCAAGUCAUGAAGGAUGUGGCAGAAAUAUUGACACCUGCAAGUCAUGAAGGAUGUGGCAGAAAUAUUGACACCUGCAAGUCAUGAAGGAUGUGGCAGAAAUAUUGACACCUGCAAGUCAUGAAGCAGUCUGGUGAUUUGGAAGUUGCUUUACCAAGAAUUGAGUUAGAGAACAGCCAAGUUGUGUAUUAUGAAACUGUGCAAUAGUGCAUCGAUGAGAACAGGUAAUUACCACAGUGCAAGACGUAAGAUAUUGGAGACAGCAUAUCACGUGUAGUAUAAAACUUGGAAAAACAUAUUUAUGUAUACUUUAUAAGUAGAAAUGAAACACUUUUUAACCAUCAUUUCACAUUCAUGUAUGAAACAUAUUCCUUAAGUUCAUUAAUUGUGGAAGAGAGGGGUGGGGAAAGGGUGCAUAGUACCUUCUUUUGCUGGAGGAGUUAUACCCCAGAUUUGUAGUUACCACAAUUUAUAGCACUGUUAAAAGGUUAUGACUUCCAAAAUGCUUGGUGGGGAGAUACUUACAAGUGAAUAUGAAGCUAAGGGUAACCAAUAAUUAAUCAUGUACAAACAAUAACCACACAAACAUAAGCAAUACCUAGUCGUAUCAGAGUUUCGAUUGUGAUGACAAAGAACCCACAUUUUAGAAAAUAAAGUUUGGAGAUGGUUUGAAUAGGUAAGGAAAGAAACUAUUACAAAUAUAUAAUGUUUCGACAAGCUUUUGUGAUCACCAUAAUUUGUAAUAGGUUCUUUCAUUAACCAUUCAAGCCAUCUCCAAACUUCAAUCACCUAACCAUGGUGUUUACCAAUCGUACACCACUGAGUAUCAGACUUAUGCCAGUAGUGAUACCAGAAUCUCCAACUGUAACCUACAAUAAGUUAUAAAAUACCACACAUCAUGUUAUCAAGAGCAUAACGACAACUUAAAAAAAUGGUAUGAUAUUUAAUAACCAUAAAUAAAUAAAAUUACAUAAUGCUUAACAUAUAUGUAAGUGUAGUUGCCAUGCAUUAUAUAAAUAUUUUACAAUAGGAUUUACUGCUUCCAAAUAUUCUGUAAAGUUAUUAAGUGUGAUACAGAAACAUCUUCAUUAUUAAUUUGGGUAACUAAGAAAUAAAUAUACUGGUAAAGAUAUAUUGAAAAAUGAAAUAUAAAAAACACAACUUAUUUAGAUUAUUUCAAAUUCAAAAAAACUUUUGCCGUUUGGCAAUCUUAUUCAUUUUAUGUUGCUUCCUAAUGGCACAGUGGUAAGUCUGAAGACUUAUAAUGCUAAAAACCAGGUUUCAAUACUGGUGGUGGACACAACACGGAUAGCUCAUUGUGUAGCUUUGUGCUUAACUAUGAAAAAAACAUUUUAUAUUUCUAUGUUUUGGUGGUGCUUAAAUGAAGAUUCUUUUCUCAUUGACACACAAGUAGUGAAAGAUUUCUCUCACAUCACUAACUGUAACAACAAAUUUAAGCUUCAAUGGCAGUAUUGAAAGCUUUUGAUUAUAAAAUCUUUUAAAAAUGGUUGUAUUGAAAAUUUGGUACUUGGUGCAUUUUGUUUGUAAGAAAUAUCUUUUUAAUUUAAAAGUUAAACAUUAAAAAAGAUUAAUUCCUUUUGGUUUGAAAUGUUUAUUUCUUCUUUCAAAAUGAGAGUGCAAAACAAGCAUCUAGAACAGAGUGAAUAACUUCAACUAAGCUGCAAGCUACACAUGUGCUAUUCAAACUCCCUCAAGACACCUGUUUGCUAGUUACAAGCCAAAAAUAAUGCAUGUGGAUAAAAUUUAGCUAUACAAAAAACAUUUCAGGAUGCAGGGGAGCCUCUGGUUGACCCCCAAAUAGCCAUGACCGAUCUAAAAGUGCUAAGUAGGAUUAUACUUUUGACUUGCAGGUUUUGAACAAUAAAUAAUGUUACUAAUAUGUUUGUCCAUACUGUGUAGUAGACAAAUUGUGUGAUUUGUUGUUUUUUUUUCUGGUUUCUACAAAUUUUUCACAUCCCACAAUUCUGAUGCUGAGAAAAAAUAAUUGUAAUAUGACAACUGUUUGUUUGUAUAAGCAGAUUACUUAUGAAGAAAUAUUAUUUGUUAAAUAACUUGCUUUACGGGUAUUUCUUCAUUGCCCCUUUUCAGAUGUUUAUAACUAAUAAACGUAUUAGUCCACAAUGAAAAUAUUACUCAUUCACAUGUUUUAAUUCCAACCUUUUUUUUUUUUUUUACUUAAAGACACAUCUUUGUAAUAUGUUUUUCAAACUAUAGUCAUUCUUGCAUCAGUAAUUAGAAAUAAACUGUUACAAGUUACUUCUGAGUCAUUAGUGCUUUUUAUUUCUUAAGCUAUCAUGACUCGUGACUCUAUAAAAGUGUAAAGUAUACAGUUCAGGGGUAGAAAUAAUGAAAUUAAAUUCACUCAAGGGAAAGCCAUUGGGAAGAUUACAUUCCUUCGUGUAAAGUUAUAUUUCCCCAUGAAUUGUUUUUUAUUUUAUUUAAUCUAUGCAAUAUGUUCACUUUCAUUGGUCAUAACAAAAGAAAUAUGGAUGGACCGUACAUUCCCAACUAAAAAGAUGAAAUUCCUCGGGAAUGUAAUAUUUCAAUCCCUGCAGUUAAUACCGUCGAGUUCAACAUGCUUCCUUAUAAGAUGAAUUUAGUUCAUUUGUGGUAACUUUUAAAGAUCUUGAUACACAAUACUUUUUUUGUUACACGUUGUCAAAAAACACCCACCAGAUUUUUCUGUAAUUUUAUAAAAUAUGUAAUAUCUUAUUUUUAAACCUACAUAUCUGUACAGCAUGUCUGAAAAUAAAAUUUCUUCUGUUUACAUACUUUUGAAUAUUAAACCUGUGACAUGUUGUCAUAAUAUUCUUUGCUUCCUGUAAUGUACAUUAAGUGAUUUUAUGAAAUUCCUGUAGCCAUUGUAGUGGAGGUUCAGUCUGUUGUCAGCUUUAACAUAAGUUCUAAACAUCUUGUGUUUUAUGACUGUGAUAAGUAUUGGAUGGCAUGUUGGGUGAAUGCUGAUCGUACAAGUUUUACUGUUAUUAAUUAUUCAUCAUUUUUGUAAUGGGUUAACAUUAUUAUGGAGAAAAGUGUUACUACAAUAUGAAAUAAGCCAAACAAGGGUAUAUUUUUACAAGAAGUCAAAUAAAUGAUGUUUUACUAAGUGUCUAUAGUAAGAUUGUGGGGAUUGGAUAUCAAUCUUGUCACAGUUAGUAGCCUAUAUUGUCACCUAAAUCUAAUUGUUAGUUAGUUACUUUUUUAAUUCUAGAUACUAAUUUCUAACUUGUGUGUAAUUCUCAGUUCUGCCUGCUAUCUGCUACCAUCUUCAGGGAAGUCCCAAGAAGGACUGUUUUCGAUGAUUGGCUAGGAUUGAUUCUAAUUAUUUUUCAUAUAAACGCUGGUGUUCCAUUAGGAAUGCUAAAUUGUUUGUCUGGUAAUACAUUGAAAAUGAUGGAUCCACCCCCACCCUGAAUACAGUCUGUGUUUGGUAAUUUGUUAUGAUGCUCAAGAAUGUAAGACAUGUUUUCUUUAAGAUAUAAAAGAAAAUGGUGCACAAAAAUUCAGUUUUUAUUAACUUGCUACGUUUGGCAUCAAAUUAAAGGUUUUUAUUUUCUUGGUGUUGAAAUGAUUGACCAAAAAAUACAAUUAUGAUUCAUUAUGUCCAAGAUUAGAGUAUAAACAAAAAAUUUUUUUCUGAAAUAUUUCAUAACUUUUAGGGGGGCAAUUGCCCAGGGGAAUGAAACCUGGUUAUGCCAUAAGGCCCGCAAAGCAUCUUUAGACUAUAUCUUCAUUUAAGGGUAAAAACCAUAGUUUAACUCUGGUUAAACAUUAGAACCCACUAGCUAGCCACAUGUUAUUAUUAUGGUGGUCUAAAACAAAAGAUCACAUCCAUGGAUAAUGGGAAAUACUUACUUGUUCUUGUUAUGCUGAAACAUUUCUUUCUGCUACCAACGUAUAUGUAUUUAUCAAAUCUAUGUUAUUCAUAUAUUGAACAAAGGUAAUUAUUAAGCAAAGUUAAAA